GGGCUCUGCGAUUAUGUCAUUGUUCAUUUAUUCAUUCCAAGCACCAAACGCCAUGCUGGGCACUCUCUCCUAAGACAGGAACUUCUCAGAACAAGAAAGCUCCCUGAGAGCUCGGCAGGUCAUAACAUAUGGAGGGCCAGGGGGCCUCUGCCGCUCUGCCUCGGAAAGAACAUGCCAGAUCAUUGAAAUUAUUGUGAGAGGCACACAGUGUGGGGGGCGGGGGCGGUUGUAGCAAAGAUCAUAGACCUUGGAGAUUUACCUACUUUCAAUCUCCAUCCCGCCGUUUACCACCUAUGUGACCUGAACAAGUUACUUCUCUCAGCCUCAGCUUCCACAUCUGUGAAAUGGGAACUUCCCUCAGGGUACUGUUCGCAAGACUUACAAAGGUAAUGGAUAUAAAAACUCUUAGCACAGUGCUUGGGUACCGGAGAGCCCUCAACAGGUGCUGGCUGUUAGCGGCUGCUAUCACCCAGCAUCACAUUUUUCUGCCCAUCGCAGCCCAGGAGGGUUCCGGCAGGUGGGAAGGGAGUACUGGGUUGAGCAUGGUUUUCACGGGAGGCAGCAACGAUGGUCUCUCGGACGCAUGGAGAAGCGAGCCUGGAGCCCUGGAGCCCUGGAGCCCGAGGCAUCCUGUCCAGCCCUCGUCGAGGGCCUGGAGCUUAAGCCAUUAUGACACCAAAAUACCUUUUUACAUCCCUAUUGGCCUGCAGCCAGUUCUGAGGAAACAGAGCAGCUCUGAGGGUGGUGAUCAGUCACUCACCCCACCCAGCAGCUACUUAAUAAUCACAGGCUCUGUCCCACUGAGGGGUAUCAGCCCUUCCUGUUGUCCUCACAGGAAGUGCCAUCUAUAACCCCUGCAACAGGGCGGGUCAGGUCCUCAUGGGACUCCAGACUGUCCUGGAAGCUGGAGCACAGGAAGUUGGGGUAAGGGGCUGUGAGCCAGGGGGCAGGUGGUGACGAGGGAGGGGUCCUUACCGGCCAGACUAAGAUAGCAUCAGAGCCAACACCUCCCUCAUGGUUACCAGGGCAAAACCAGGGACUGUCCCCUCUCUGUGCCUCCUCUGGGCCGAACCUUUCCUUCCCUCUGGGGGCUCCCCUGUGACCCUCACCCCCACCCCAGGGUGCAUGAAUGUCGGUUGCAACCAGAUGCCCUUCUGUGGGGCCAGAUCUACUCACCUACUGACACAGUAGAACGCGAUCAGUCUGAAGAUGUCCUCAAACACAAGAACCGAGCCUUCCAGGAGUCCAAAGGGACACCUCAGACCUGAGGGAGUCCCGACGGACAGCUUCACAUCAUCCUGGAGCACGGGCUAAUGCAAAUGGGAUUCAGCUCUACGUCUACCUUCCGGCCCAAAACCUUUCCUGAGUGUUCCGACCUCCCCCAGGGAAAGCUGCACACAGGAGGAACUAUGCAAACCACACAUUUUCCCAUCAGGGAAACGUCAUACAUAUGCUCACAUUGUGAUGUGAGGUCAUGAGACUGUGGACCCCCUGAGAGUAGGAACAGGUCUUAACUUUCCUUAUCACCUGCCCUGCACCUGACACCGUGUUGGGCACACAGGAGGACUCUGAAAGGGACAGCCGGGCUGACCAGGCCCUCCGGGGCUGGAAUCGAGAGUGGACCAAAUUUAUAGAGACAAAAAGUAGGUUAGUGGCUGCUUAGGGCUUGGGGGUGGGGGAGGGAGGAGAGGUAGGGAGAUGAUAUGGUUUUCAUUUUUUUAAAAAUCAUGUUGAGCUACAAAAACACACAAUUUAGCAUUUUAACUAUUUUAGGGGUGCAGUUCAGUAGCAUUAAGUACAAACACAUUGGGCAACACGGGGCCUCUUUUUUGAGGUGAUAAAAUGUCCUCACACUCACUAGGGUGGGGAUACACUACUCUGAACCAAAAGCCGCUAAAGGA